GCCAGUAUGGUAUAGUGGUUUGAGUGUUGGAGUAGGACUCUGAAAACUAGGGUUCAAAUCCCUGUUCAGCCA